UACGACAAGUCCCCCAACUUUCGAAACCGUUUAAAUGUUGUCCCUCGGCAGUAUUGCAUCUGGUUUUUGCUGAGGUGGCGCCUACGUGGCUAGGUCUUUGUCCAAUGUGUCAAUGUGGCGGUUACGUGGCAAUUAGAUCCGAAAAAAUAAUAGUACACGUGGGACCCACAUGUUAGUCGCACACAACUUAAAAAAAUGGUGGGCCCAUGAGGACCCAGACGUCAUCCUCUCUAUCCUCUCUCUCCCUGUUCUAUCGCUCUCCAGCCGGCGGAACGGGAUGGGCGGCGGCCGGAGCGGGCGACGGCGGGGCGGAGCGGCGGCGGAGGCAGAGCGGGGCGGAGCCGAAGGGCGAAGCGGGGCGGGCGGCUGCCGAAGCGGGGUGGAGCGGGGGCGAGCGGAUGUCGUCGAGCCGUCGCCAUCCUCGCCGCGGCGGACACCGUGAACGACGACGUGCUCGCGCGCGGGUGGUCUUCAACUCGGGGGUGUCCAACCCGGGGAAGGGAGGGGGGGGGGAGCUCCUGGCGCCGUGGUUGGAGGACGCCGACCGCGCCCAACGACGACGAGCGCGCGGAGAAGGAUGAGGCGGCGGAGGCUGUGGUGUUCAUCAACGGGGAGGACGAUGAGGCGACGAUCUGUCCGGGUUCAGGGGCCUGGUUCUUGAUCUCUCUUAUAGUGAUCGUGUUAGAAAGAGAUAAAAACAAUUUGAAGGAAUUUUGCAUUUUUACCUCGAAAUAUAACCAGGCCUGUGAACGUUGUCUGCUGGAAGCGCGCAAUUUGUUUGGAAUUCAUGGCGAAGCAGCGCUCAGAGGGGCAGAGCACACGGCGGCGAUGGCAGGAGCUUGGCGCUUCGACGGCGUCGGUUCUUGACCCCGUAGCCGACGACGGCGAGGAGCGCGACGGCGGUGAGGAAGACGUAGACGUCGUCGUCAGCAGUAGCCUCCGCCGCCGCCCACGGCCGUGCUGCCCCGCGUCCCCCUCGAGGAGGGGACCGACCUCGCCGCUGCCGUCGCGCACGAGGGCUCCGGCUGCUACGUCCUCACCGUCCUCCGCCGCGCCCUCCGUCCUCGCCGGAAGCAGGAAGGGUGCCGCCCGGGUCGUCACGCGCGCCGCCCAUUCUCCCCGUCGGCCGCUGCUCGUCGGUCGUCCUCCCCAUUGGUCGCCGCCCGUCCUGGUGCCCCUUCUCCCCGCCGGUCACCGCCCAUCCCGGCGCCCCUUCUCCCCGCCAGUCGCCGCCCGUCGCGCCAUUCUCCUCGCCGACAGUCACCCAUCUCUUCGUUGCCUGUCACGCCGUCCACCCCGCCGGCCGCUGCUCGUCUCGGCGCCCUAGCUGCAUCUCCUCCUCCUCCGGCGGCCACCGCCGGACACUGCCCCUUCUCCCCGCCGGCCACCGCCCGUCGGCCGUCGCGCCCGAGAGAGGAGAGGAGGGAGAGAGACGAAGAGAGGGGAGAUGGGGAGUGAGGAGGAAGAAGAGGGGAGUGAGAUUGACAUGUGGGCCCAUGUGGGCUCCAUCUUUUUUAAUUAUUGUUUUGUGUAACUGACAUGUGGGUCUCACGUGUAUUAUUUUUUUUCCAAAUCAAAUUGCCACGUAAGUGCCAUGUCAAUGCCACGUGGGACGGAGACCUAGUCAAACCAGUCACGUAGGCGCCACGUCAGCCAAAACCACUACCCAAACCGCUUUAGGACCUUAUGUGUCCGGUUUUCGUAAGUUGGGGGCCGG